GGGCCAUAUCAUGCUGAAACAUCAGUUCCCGUAUGACCACCAAAGUUAAGCAACAUUGAGCCUAGUCAGUACCUAGAUGGGUGACCACUUGGGAAUACCAGGUGCUGUAAG